rnacentral:rRNA from 1 species
GACGAACGCUGGCGGCGUGCUUAACACAUGCGAGUCGAACGGAAAGGCCCUGCUUUUGUGGGGUGCUCGAGUGGCGAACGGGUGAGUAACACGUGAGUAACCUGCCCUUGACUUUGGGAUAACUUCAGGAAACUGGGGCUAAUACCGGAUAGGAGCUCCUGCUGCAUGGUGGGGGUUGGAAAGUUUCGGCGGUUGGGGGUGGACUCGCGGCUUAUCAGCUUGUUGGUGGGGUAGUGGCUUACCAAGGCUUUGACGGGUAGCCGGCCUGGGAGGGUGACCGGCAAAAUGGGAAGAGGGAAAGGGCCAAAAGACAAAGGGGGGGAAGGGGGGGGAAAAAGAGAAAAAGGGGGGGAAGCAUGGAGAAGAAAGGCGGGGGGGGGAAAGAGGGCGUGGGGGUUGAAAAAGGGUUGGGGGGGGGAGGAAGGGGGAGGGAGGGAAAGGGGAAAAGAAGAACCGGCAAACAACGG